rnacentral:lncRNA from 1 species
UCAAAAUUGUAGCUUUAAAUUCAAAUUCAAAUUCAAAAUUCUAAUUUCUAGUUAGUUUAAAAUUUUAAUUUUAAUAUUAAUUUCAAAUUUAAAUUUAAAAUUUUUGAAUUUUUAUUUUAGGGGACUAAAGUGAAAAUUGUGCACAGUUUUAAGGACCAAAAUUGACAUGCAAAAGAAAGCCAAGUAGGCGCUGACGUGGCGAUUCCGUUAAUUUUAACAUUUUUUUAACAGCUGGGACAUAAUUGCAAUAAAAUUAAGAGAUUGGAAACUCGAUUGCAAAAAAAAGAUUAGAGACCUAAGUGAAAAAUGGUACAAAGGUUAGGGACCAAUGACGUAAUUAACCCUAACUUAAU